rnacentral:rRNA from 1 species
AGCUCCAAUAGCGUAUAUUAAAGUUGUUGCGGUUAAAAGCUCGUAGUUGGAUUUCUGUCGAGGGUUGACGGUCUGCACUUAGUGCAAGCAUCGCUUAGCUCUUGGCAUCCUCUUGGAGAUCGUUCCUGCGCUUGAUUGCGUGGGGCGGAAUUCAAGACUUUUACUUUGAGGAAAUUAGAGUGUUCACGGCAAGCAUUCGCUUUGAAUACAUUAGCAUGGAAUAAUAUUAUAGGGCGUAAGCUUUAUUUUGUUGGUUUCUAGGGCGUACGCAAUGAUUAAUAGGGACAAUUGGGGGCAUUCGUAUUAACGCGUCAGAGGUGGAAUUCUUAGAUUGCGUUACGACGAACUACUGCGAAAGCAUUUGCCAAGGAUGUUUUCA